rnacentral:tRNA from 1 species
GGUGUAGCUCAGUGGGUAGAGUGCCUGCCUAAUGAGCAUGUGCCCUGGCUUCAGUCUCCAGCACC